UUGGGCUUUGGGUGGGUGAUCUGGGGAGGCUCCCAGGAAGUGGAGUUUGCGCUUGGCAAUGUAGUCGGAAAAUGAGGCGAUCCUAGGAUGGAGUACCUUAAAAAGCUUAUCAGGAAGCCGGCUGCGGUGGCUGAGGCAGGAGGAUCGCCUCGAGUUCCAGGACAUAGUGAGUUCCUGACUACAUAGUGAGAGCCCCUCUCAGAAACACGAAACAAAAAGGCGACCAGUCAGGAGAGCAGACGAGUCGAGGUGCGGCGGCGCGGACAGAGAAGCAAAGGCCACUCACAUUUGCUCCGCGAGGAGCUGCCUGGCAAACUUGUUUGCGUCUAGUGUUGGGCCCGAUGACAAGGCAGCCUUGCUUUGUCUCACUUUCCAAGGCUCCGGAGUGACCCUGCCUAAGGCGGGGUCCCAUGUGACCGUUUACGCCCCGCACGGCCUCACUGUGGGCACCAGGCCCACCCUGGCUCUCCACAGCCUCCAUGGCAAAGAGUCCAGGAAGACCAUGCAAUGAUGAUGCAAGCAAACCUUUACUUGGUGAAAGUAAACAUAAAACUACUUGGCUUUUUCUCUGUGCAGAGCUGCAGAACUGGUCCCCUCUGAAGAGCUGGCUUAAGGGGCGACAGAGGCUGGCCUGUGACCCAGGCUUCCUUUCCCGGCUUACACCAUCUCUGGCCUCUCACUGGGCACCAGAAUGGAGAAUUCUUCUCGGGAGCUUGGUGUGGCAGGGGCAGAAUAGCAGAAAGAGCUCUAGGCCUAAGAGUUGGAAAGCCCGGAAGAAAGAAGAGAAGAUAAAGGGGAAGUGGACAGACAGUGCUUCGACCAUGAGCUGAGCAUUCUCAGCUCCUCUUCAGAGCUGAGUCAUUAACUGCUGCUUGUCUGCAGUUACACCUUUGAUAAGGGUAUAAAAGAGUCCCAUAAAAACGGUGGUGGCGGUCCAUUCAUUGAUGAGAAUAUGAAGUUUUGAGAAGUGUCUUGCCAAAAGACAGGGCCUCCUUUAGAAAACAAAAGCACAACAAAAGCAAAACAGAACAAAAAGCAAGACCUGAACUCAGUUCUUCUGAACUGUAGACUUUAAUUUUUCACCGUUUUAUGUUGUGUGUGUAACAGAUGCUGUUACGGCUUAGUACCUAAGAACCCCAAAAAUCCUCAUGUGCUCACAGGUAGGAGUUUUUGAGAGAUGGCUGGAUUAUAGGAUUAGUAGACUAGAUCAGUCUACUGAUUGGUUUAACACAGCGCUGGGUGUGAGUGAUGGACUUACUGAAGAGGGAAGCCCCAGCCUCGGUGUGGGUGGCAACAACCAAUAGAUUUGCAGCCUGGUUGGAAUAAAAAGGGAAAGGAAGGCUCACUGCUUCCUGCCUCCUGCCUGCUCUGUCAUGGACUGUUUUUUCUCAGCCAUGCCGCCUUUGCCAACGUGCCAAGGAUGCUGGCAACAUCAGGAGCUGAGGGAAGAGCAUGGUACUCCCAUCAGCAUCUCCCUGACAGCCUUCUGAGACAGCAUGGUGCUGCUGAUGCCUUGGUUUUAGAUCAUAGUUCCCCACUUCUCCAUGGUCUCCAGAACUAUAAAUCCAGAGGACAAGCUUGAUGGUACCAUUUCCUCCGCUGA
rnacentral:lncRNA from 1 species